UUGUGGUAGAAGCUGUGGGGGAGCAGGGUCUGAAGAGCCAGUCUGGGAGAGUCAAGUCGUGGCUUCUACGGAAUUGCGGACAUCUCCCUUCUGUUCCCUUGCUCUUCUUUCCCCGCUAGUAAGAAGAGUGGAGAGAGCCUGUCAUUCUCCGGGCUUCCCACAGCUGCUGUCACACCACUUGAAAACAGAGCCCAGGUGACCUGCAUUCCCAGUCCAUCCCAGGGCAAGGCAAAGUGU
rnacentral:lncRNA from 1 species